rnacentral:rRNA from 1 species
GGCGAGUGAAGCGGCAACAGCUCAAAUUUGAAAUCUGGCGUCUUUGGCGUCCGAGUUGUAAUUUGCAGAGGGCGCUUUGGCAUUGGCAGCGGUCCAAGUUCCUUGGAACAGGACGUCACAGAGGGUGAGAAUCCCGUACGUGGUCGCUAGCCUUUACCGUGUAAAGCCCCUUCGACGAGUCGAGUUGUUUGGGAAUGCAGCUCUAAAUGGGAGGUAAAUUUCUUCUAAAGCUAAAUACUGGCCAGAGACCGAUAGCGCACAAGUAGAGUGAUCGAAAGAUGAAAAGCACUUUGGAAAGAGAGUUAAAAAGCACGUGAAAUUGUUGAAAGGGAAGCGCUUGCAGCCAGACUUGCCUGUAGUUGCUCAUCCGGGUUUUUACCCGGUGCACUCUUCUAUAGGCAGGCCAGCAUCAGUUUGGGCGGUUGGAUAAAGGUCUCUGUCAUGUACCUCCUCUCGGGGAGAACUUAUAGGGGAGACGACAUGCAACCAGCCUGGACUGAGGUCCGCGCAUCUGCUAGGAUGCUGGCGUAAUGGCUGUAAGCGGCCCGUCUUGAAACACGGACCAAGGAGUCUAACAUCUAUGCGAGUGUUUGGGUGUCAAGCCCGAACGCGUAAUGAAAGUGAACGGAGGUGGGAACCUUUCGGGGUGCACCAUCGACCGAUCCUGAUGUCUUCGGAUGGAUUUGAGUAAGAGCAUAGCUGUUGGGACCCGAAAGAUGGUGAACUAUGCUUGAAUAGGGUGAAGCCAGAGGAAACUCUGGUGGAGGCUCGCAGCGGUUCUGACGUGCAAAUCGAUCGUCAAAUUUGGGCAU